ensembl:lncRNA
AACCUUUUGGAUCCAUAGCACUGUGGGAUGGGAAAUAACCACAAAACUACCUGUUCCCUCCAUUGCAGGAAAAUUCAGCAGCAUUUUGCUGGACACGGAUAUUUCAGGCUGCCUGUUUGAGGAUGACCUCUGCAAGUCUUUUGAAGUCUGUGUAAAUGGUAAGUCUUCCAUGUUUUGUUUGCUGGUUGGUCUGUCCUCCACUCUGUAAUUGCUACAUGUUUAAUUCAGUAAACCAAAUACAUGUGUGAUUGAGAAGGAGGGGAAAAGGAAAAGUACCAGGUAUAACUAUUCUAGUCAGCUGUUAGGAAAAAUGUAAUAGAAUAAAAAAAAAAAUAUUUUCUCAACCCUGAGCAAAACCAUUUACUUUUAUGUGAAAUAGAUUUUAAUUUAAUUAAACACACUGAAAUAUGCUAACAUUUAAUUUGUCUCAAUAUUGGUGGAAAUAACCGUGUUGUUACCUUCAGUUUGUUCCUCUUUUUAGAUGUUGUUGAGUAAUUAUCAGUGUCCGUUUCUUCAAAAGAUUAUUUUUUAUAAUAAGAAAGUAAGUCUCAAAGGAACACUGCAGUUGUUGAUUAUACUGAUUCCUUUUUCUAUGAUUUUACUCGAAUUAUGCAGAAACAGCUUUCUUCUGCUGUCCUGCAUAAUUUAUUUUCAGUAAGUCAAAAAAGCCAACACAACAUAUGAAUGAGGCUAAUGGAAUAGUACAAAAGAUGUUUUCUAAUAAUACUUGAAGAUUGGAAAUGUGCUAUAUGAAAUGAUUUCCUUCCCAGUGAAGAACAGAGGAGUUUUUGAAAGAUCUUUGAAAAAAUAACUGUUUUAAAAUAUGUGUAUAUGUGAUGAAAGGAGGAAGGGAGUAGUUUUAAUAGUCUUUUGACAUGGAAAGAUAUGGCAAAAAUGUAUAUCUGUAUUAAGGGGGAUUAAGUUUUUUAAUUAAGUAUUGUGUGUGAAAUUUUUUUUGCGACUUCAUAUUGUAAAGGAGAAUGUUUAUUUUCCAUCAAACACAGAAUCAAUAAUAUGGGUCUAUUAAUAAAUUAAGAUAUUAAUAAGGUUUAGCUAAUGAACAUUUAAGAUAAAAUGAGAUUUAAUUUCCAGUACUGUUUAACAUCAGACAAAUGCAAAUUUAUAAGACUUUUGUACUGACAAUUCCCGUGAUUGACACCAGGAAGGGCAGUGACAGAUUUGUACAGGUUGUAUUUUGCUGACUAUCAAUAUUUUCCAGUGCUUAGGCUGGAGUCUUCCUCAGUGCAAGCAGAUUUAAUCAGUUUUAGUCAGGUUUAAUCAUAGGUAAAUGUUAUACACAGCAGACAGUGCAUAAUAGGGAUUUUAUGCAACAGAUAAUAGCAACUUCUGUAUUUUAGGGAUCUGUCUGUUGAAGACUUUGCUGUUCCUAUGAAAGUAACUUCCUAACUUCUUGCUCUACUUGUUCUCUUAAAUCAAGAUGCAGUUUGUAAAACACUCAUUAACAUGCAAAAUUAAAUUAUGGAAGUUGUAGCUUUGAAUUUGAAUGAACCUUUUGUGUAGAACUGCUCUUAUUUUGGCAUAACUAACUUAAAGAAAUGUCAGUAAUGAAUAAGAGUUGAUCAAUAUUAUUUUCUAAUGUCUGACCGUGUUUUAAAAAAAUACUUGCAGAGAUUCUGUCAAAGUGUUUAAGGUAACUGUAAAAUAUUUCAUUCUUUUUUGUUCCACUGAGCAAAUGUUAUCUAGAGUGUAUUUUAAAUGCUGUCCUUGAUGCAAGUGAAGAUAAACCAUUCUUGAGACAAUAAACAGGAUCUUUGGGAGAUUGUGCAGUGAAAUACUAAAAAAUGAUCAGAAUUUUUUAUACGUAGUAGAAAGGAAGUGGGCCUCUUUCUUCUGAGCAAUCCUUCACAAUUUUCCUGCCCAAAGUGGUGCUGAAUCACCUGUAUCUCUGAAAUUUUUCAGAAAUUCUGAUGUAUUAAAAUUUGAGGGGUUGAGAGCUCAGGAACUGAAGUUUGUGGAGGUCACUGUGCUCAGAAGCAGCGCUUACUUUGGAGAGGUUUGCCUCCUUUCUUGUCACAUGAGUGGGUAUUGCUGAAGUACAGUGUGAAAGUGGGUAAGAACCAGCAGCUGCUUUUUGGUAGCGUCUGUGAUCUGCAGAUCUGCUUCUGACUCCUGCAGGAAGGCUUAUAAUUCUGAUAUUUUUCUCUGCCUCCAGCAGAGGCAGAGAAAACUGACCACAUUUGCAGAAAUAAAACUAAGUUUGCCUACUGAAGACAAGCCACAGUAUUUGCUAUCUCACAUCUGUCAUCAACUGUAGAAUGAUGCACGAAAUACACUUGAAAUCAUUAUGUGAAAGCAUAACCAAAACACUAAUAACUGAGUUAUUUCAUAGCUUAAAAAUCCCCCUACUCUUCUCCCCUUCUCAUUGCUUCUGAAGAGAGCUUUUUACUGAAAGAUUUUGAUAAAUAUUCCUUUCCAUGAAGAAAAAAAAAUGCUGUUCAAAGAAUGGGUUUUGUAUUGUUAAAAGCAAUGUAAUAGAAUUGUAAGAACUGAGAUAAGCAGAAUAACUGUUUAUAUCAGAGAUAAGGGCUGCUUACAUCUGCUUAGGUCACAGGACAUUUUUACAGGGCAAAGAACCUGCUGUGAUAAUGAUUGUUGACUUUUCUGCCACUUUCCUUCAUGGUAUAAAGGUCUCUUUUGGCUUCAGUGAUGGGUUCUUGCUUAUGCUUGUUUAAUAGCUCCAGCAGCAUUCAUGCAAUAUUAAUUUAUUUCCACAAACCUUUUAUCAGUUUUCUGAGCUGCACUGACUCAUCAAGUGGUUAAAAAGGAACAUAUUGUUUCAUGUUAAUUUUAAUGAGAUAAGGAUGAGCCAGGCAAAAAGACUGAGUUAGUUUUCCUGGACUCUUCCUCUACAAAGCCAGAACUUUGAGAGGUAAAGUGACUUAAAUGUCAUUUAUUUAUCUUCUGGUACAUUAUUGCUUCUUGCUUAGAGCUGGGGGAACUGACAUUUUCACCCACCUAAGAUACUUGAAUCUUGAAAGCCUGCAGCUAAAAAGACUUGAUGGGAAAGGUGAAUAUGCCUUCUAGUAAGGCAUAUCAGAGCUGCAGACUCUGAUAGAAAGUAACCUGGCUUACUAGAAGCUUGGAAAUGCUUGCCACCCCCUCUGCCCCAUAAAUGCUGAAAAGCUGCUACAGAUACAACAGGAAGCAAAUAACAUCUUGAUUAAAGAAGAUAUAUAGAAGGAAAAAAAUAUGAUGAGGAAUAGUAUUUGCAGUGAUGGUAAGUGUAGUGACACAGUUGUGGGUAAAGAGGGAUAUGGCUUUCACACCUUCACAUGCUCUUUGCUGUCUGGGUUAGAAGUUCAAGCAAGAGUUUGCCUGUGAGUGUAUUUUUUUCCUUAACAGCUCUGCCUAGAAUGUUUGUAUGAAAAGGAAAGAAAAAAGCAUCAAGAAGGAAUUUUUAGAGGAUCUCUGAGACAGAAAUCCUUUGCUUACCCUUGAACAGCCCUUGUAUUUAUAUACUAAAUUUAGUGCAGCUGGAUAAGCAGGAAUAUGUCAUGUUUUGUUUUGCUUUUUAAGUGACAGAUAAAGCAGUUCAUGUAAAACAUCAGCUCGUUUAUCUUCCUUGUUGGAAGGUUUAAACAAACUGGCUCCUGUAAACAGCAAAGCAAAGACAAGUUCUUAUUCUUUCUCAUGAAACCGUGCUAUUGGAUUCUAGCAGUGCCACUGGGAAAGCCACCAUGUGGUACAGAUAAGUGCUCCUUUCAAAAUAACUAUCCCUUAUUGGCCUGUGUCCUCUCUUUGUUAAACUGUUUGAACUGCUCAUUUAGAAGGGUGGCAUUCUUUCCUUUAGCUUUAAUCUCCAGAUAUUUUGCUUCAGAAAGCAGUUUUGUGCUGUGUUUUAUGCGGGCAUGGAUACCAUGAUAUCUUUGCUCCUAUCAACACAUCCUUUCUAAGUCAGGGCAGUUUUAUUUAUGAAAGAGGCUGUGGCUGCAAAGCCUCCUUCCUGCAUGACAUCAGAAUGGGGCUCAUGCAGACAAAAUCAGAUAGAAAACAACUCUGUGAGGCCAAGCAAGGAAAGUUAAUUAAACGCAGUCGCUGGCGCAGAGUGCAUCAUUAAGCCCAGGCUGGCUGACAAACACCGCCCUGCUCCUCGGCAGCCGCGCUCCGCUGUCUGCAGCGGUGUUUGGAGAAGCUGUGCUGCUGGAAGGCUGCGCAAACAGCGCUCACAGCUGAAUCAAUAUUGCUUUAUGUAUGCAAGCUGCACUUGUUAGGAGGCACUUAGGUUAGCACGGUGUGUCAGAGGCACCCAGGCAUUGCAGUACAAAAUCGUGAACCUUUCCAAGCCUGCAUCUCUGCAGGUAGCUCAGAAUAUUAAUGCAUUUUCUUCCUCAGCUACAGAGCUCCUUGAGCAUUUGGAAUAUAAGUGAUUGCGUGUGCUGGUGAUGAGCCAUAAACAGUAAACAUGUGCUACAGAUGAUAAGGGAGAGAAGUCAGGAUCCCUGAAAUGGCUUCUUGAACUUAAUGUGUUCUGCUUUGAGGUUUUCCAGACCAUUGCCCGGUAGGGUGGGAUUGCAGAGGGAGAUGCACCUCGGUGUUGUUGAGCUAACAGAUGUCUGCAGCAACAUCUGCCUUGGCAAGGCACUGCUCUCCAAAAGCUAUUGAAUUUUUGUCAAAUGACACUAUAAAUCUGGGCCUAAGCUUUCUGAGCCCUUUCAGUGACCAUCAGUGCUUGUUAUAACUAUAUUCAGACAUUCAGAUACCUCUGCAUGCGCUUGCUGUAUUGUUUGUAAAGAAUUUAUGUGCAUUACAAAGAUGUGGGGAUUCUUCACAAAUAGGCGAAGUUCAAAUACCACCUGAUGUCAUUUAUUGCCUGAAUUCUGAAGUAAAUUACUGUGUGUGUAUGUUUGCACAUGGAUGUUUUGUUGUUGUAAAAAUCUGACCAAUUAAUUAAAUAUUAGGAUUUACU